ACUUCCGGCCACGGUGCAGAGCGGCAUGGACGGGCCAGACGUGGCACUGUGUCCUGACUGGAAGAUCCUUUCGUGGCACCCGUGGACCCUAAGGCUGGUACCAGUCAGUGUGGGAUAAGAUUCAGAGAGACAAAGUUCCCAGAUAUUGUCUGUUUGGAGAAUGCUCAUUUGCUUGGUCUAGAUUGUUUGUGUUUUGAUUUCCCUCUUCUUAUAUUCACAUCACCUGAGGGUCUUCUGAGACAUAUACUAGGUGGCUAGAUGACUAACGAAUAUUAUUCCAUGACUAAGAAGGGGUCAAUGUGCUAUUGUAACACAGCAUGGCCUGCACAUAUGUUAGACUCCAGUGAUAGAUGGUCUCUUAACAAUUACUUAUUAUCAUACAAUUUUACAUUUGGGGUCAUUUUAUAAAAGAUCAAAUAAAUGGGAUGGAAUCCCUUACAUACAA